CAAAACCAAGACACUAAAGUUACAUAGAUGAAGAAACAUAUAAUAAAAAAAGAUUAAAGCACAACAUCUGGAGGGAGCCUCUGCAACAUGAAAAUAUCACAUAAAAGGAAGCCAUUUCAGUAAAAAAAAUUGUGCUGGAGCCACUGAGGGAAUACUUCAUUUUCACAGGACCUGGUAAUGUGAGAAAAAACGUCACAUAGCCAUUGAGAAAUAGGAGGGGAGUUAACAGAUUUUCAGUUCAGGAGAAUCCUGCGUCGAGCCAGUAGGGAAGUAAAAGCCACAAUGUCUGCUUGGCUGCAGGCUAAUGAGGACAGGUCCUCCGGAAUACCAAAAAAAAGCUAUCCUCAUUUGAAAUUAUCCUGAAAUUGGUACCAGAUAUUAAUUGUGGAAAGUACCACCGAAUUGCCAGUAUAGCGAGACAGGGGUGCCGGCAAAGAACAGCAGAGUAAAGCAGGAAGAAAGGAAGAAAUGCAGGACCGCGACUCAAAGUGGGACCAUGGGGUAUUUGGAGCAUGCAAACAAAACGUUUUCUAAAAAUUGGCAGCCCAGUAGCAGGACAAAAAGUUGGGUAGUGCCGGCCCUCCACUAAAUUUGCAUCUCUGAAGCAAAGAACAACUGACUCCACGCCGGUAUACUUCUAACGUGAAGAACGAUGAUGUGUAACCAAUGACAAAGUAAAGAGGCGUGACCUGCUGGAGGCGCCCCAGUUGUGAAGACAAUUAAAUUCACGGCUUCCACAGAAGACAGCUGUUGUUUCCAGCGCGGAGUAUGUCGUUUACAUUGUUUAGGUUGAAAUUAAACCCAGCCGUGUUUGGUAAACACAUUUUUGGGCAUUCAAAUCUUGACCAAGUGACCAGCAUCAAUGUCAGUUGGACUGUGUGGUUGUGAUCUUAGACAACCUGAACAGAUCCUUUUUGUAUUGAGGACCCCAGGUGAUGAUACAGAGUACAUCACCAUAAUGGCUUCAGUUACGGACACCCCACCUUGUGGCUGCACAGCGUCGGGAUUUUUGUUUCAUUGUUUUCUUUCAUGCUUGAAAGAUGAAGACAGCAUAAACACUUCAAGCAACACCUCAGCUGACGCCUCUCGAUGUGGAGGAGCAGCGGCUCUACUCUGAGCUCCUCCCGGGUGACCAAGCUUCUCACCCUAUCUCUAAGGGAUCGCCCAGCCACCCUGCGGAGAAAGCUCAUUUCGGCCGCCUGUAUCUGGGAUCUGGACUGGACUGGUUGGGCAAACUCCCAUAAACCCUCCAACACCCUGUUGAAGGUAUAGAGCUGGUCCAGUGUUCCACGGCCCGGACGAAAACCACACUGUUCCUCCUGAAUCCGAGGUUCUACUAUCGGCCGUAUUCUCCUCUCCAGAACCCUGGCAUAGACUUUCCCGGGGAGGCUGAGAAGUGUGAUCCCCCUAUAGUUGGAACACACCCUCCGGUCCCCCUUCUUAAAAAGAGGGACCACCACCCCGGUCUGCCAUCCCAGAGGCACUGUCCCCGACCGCCACGCGAUGUUGCACAGGCGUGUCAACCAAGACAGUCCCACAACAUCCAGAGACUUGAGGUACUCAGGGCGGAUCUUAUCCACCCCCGAUGCCUUGCCACCGAGGAGUUUCUUGACCACCUCUGUGACUUCAGCCCAGGUGAUGGACGAGUCCACCUCUGAGCCCCCAUCCUCUGCUUCCUCAAUGGAAGACGUGACAGCGCAGAAGAAACUGUGACUAGCACAGAAGUCCAAUAACUGAACACCACUCGGGUUCAGGUCAAGGGGGCCGUUCCUCCCCAUCUCGCACCUCCAGGUGUCACUGUCGUUGCCCACGUGGGCAUUGAAGUCCCCCAGUAGAACGAUAGAGAACCCAGUCGGAGCACUUUCCAGCACCCCUCCCAGAGACUCCAAGAAGGUCGGGUACUCUGCACUGCCGUUCGGCCCGUAGGCACAAACAACAGUGAGAGACCUAUCCCCAACCCGUAGGCGCAGGGAAACGACCCUCUCGUUCACCGGGGUAAACUCCAACACAUGGCGGCAGAGCUGGGGAGCUAUAAGCAAACCCAAACCAGCCCACCGCCUCUCACCAUGGGCAACUCCAGAGUGGUGAAGAGUCCAUCCUCUCUCAAGGAGUGUGGUUCCAGAGCCCAAGCCGUGCGUAGAGGUGAUCCCGACUACCUCUAGUCGGAACCUCUCAACCUCACGCACGAUCUCAGGCUCCUUCCCCGCCAGCGAGGUGACGUUCCACAUACCUAGAGCUAGUUUCCGUGUCCAGGGAUCGGGUUGUCUAGGCCCCUGCCUUCGACUGCCGCCCGAUCCUCUCCGCUCCGGCCCCUUAUGGUCCCUCCUGUGGGUGGUGAGCCCACGGGAAGGCAGCCCCACGUCGCUCCUUCGGGCUGAGCCACCAGGCCUUUCCCAUGGGGAAAAGGCCCGGCCACCAGGCGCUCGCGUACGAACCCCAACCCCGGGCCUGGCUCCAGGGUGGGGCCCCGGCUGUGCCAUACCGGGCGAGGUCACGGAACUCAAAAUUCUGCUCAUCAUUAAGGGGGUUUUGAAACCCCCUUAGAUUUGAAUUCAUGGACUUUAAAUGGGGAAUUCGUUUUCAAAGGAGAGAUAAUCAAGGGUUUGCACCUGUUGGAUCUGGUCAAAGGUGUGACAGCAACCAAUAGAAUUGCGGAGACUAUAAGGCCAUUGGGGUGGGGGGUGUUUUUAGAGGCCAUGGCAUGUCUCAACAUGCCUUUUACAACUAUUCCAAAUGAGCUUUUAAGCCGUAAAAUCCAUUUGUAUAAACAAACAUUUGGCGACACAAUGGAUGAUUUAGCCAUUCACCUAGCAACUGGUUAUCAGCCAACCAAAGCUUCCAUUUUAAUGUGUUUUUA
ensembl:lncRNA